rnacentral:rRNA from 1 species
CGCUGGCGGCGUGCCUAAUACAUGCAAGUCGAACGCUCCUACCGGUGCUUGCACCGGGAAAGAAGAGUGGCGGACGGGUGAGUAACACGUGGGUAACCUACCUACAAGCGGGGGAUAACAUUCGGAAACGGAUGCUAAUACCGCAUAGAUCUUUUUGUCUCCUGGCAGAAAGAAGAAAGACGGUUUCGGCUGUCACUUGUAGAUGGACCCGCGGCGCAUUAGUUAGUUGGUGAGGUAAUGGCUCACCAAGACGAUGAUGCGUAGCCGACCUGAGAGGGUGAUCGGCCACACUGGGACUGAGACACGGCCCAGACUCCUACGGGAGGCAGCAGUAGGGAAUCUUCCGCAAUGGACGAAAGUCUGACGGAGCAACGCCGCGUGAGUGAAGAAAAGGUUUUCGGAUCGUAAAACUCUGUUGUUAGAGAAGAACAAGGAUGAGAGUAACUGCUCAUCCCUUGACGGUAUCUAACCAGAAAGCCAUGGCUAACUACGUGCCAGCCGCCGC